GAACAUUGAAACAGGCUAGGAGAAGUGAUUGGAUAGAAAAUGGUAUUCUAUUCAUUUAUCUCCCAGCCUACAAAAAGAAA
rnacentral:pre_miRNA from 1 species